rnacentral:rRNA from 1 species
UACAGAGGUCCCGAGCGUUGUUCGGAUUUACUGGGCGUAAAGGGUGCGUAGGCGGUGGGGUAAGUUUGAGGUGAAAGCUCCGGGCUCAACCCGGAAAAUGCCUUGAAAACUAUCCGGCUAGAGGGUUGGAGGGGAGACUGGAAUUCUCGGUGUAGCAGUGAAAUGCGUAGAUCUCGAGAGGAACACCAGUGGCGAAGGCGGGUCUCUGGACAACACCUGACGCUGAGGCACGAAAGCGUGGGGAGCAAACGGG